rnacentral:lncRNA from 1 species
CGGGGAGAGGCUAGACGAUUUGUCUUUUUAGUACUAGGGAUAAAUGAGCAAUUUUAAGGUAUUCUUGAAUCUAAAUGUGUUGUAAGAUUUAGCGUCCGAUAAUAUAUCAACGUUUUAUGCGUAGAGGGAUAGCACACGGCCACAUGAGACAGAUUUGGGCCUCACCCAAAAAUCCUAAGUAUGCCCCAAUAAUCGAUGUAACACUAUGGCCUAGCUAAAACUUGUCUGCGCCCCAUCCACGACCCAACGGAUACUUUUCUGUGAUCCGCCUCGCACACGUGCGUCAUUCCCCUUCUCUAGUUCCCCACACGGCCAUCAUACCAGACGAUCAGACCAAAUUUUUAGCUAAAAUUUUACCUCUUUUUUUGAGAUUACACAGUACAACGUAGACACUCAAGACGCACACACACUUUAGUAUUAAGGAUAGACUAAUAUUUUAUAGAAAUUUAAUUAAAUUUUAAAAAGUUUGGCCUGUAUGAAUCCUAUAAUAAUAUCUUUUUUUUAAUGGGGGGAGUACGUACGAGCAACCUCCACUGUAACCUCUUCACACUUCUAGAUCUUAUUGCUCCUUUGCAUCUCCUCAAACCUCGUUCCAACUCUUACAACAUGGCGCCACAGAGUAGGUCAUUGCCAAUUCAAAUAUCGUAGUACAUGUCAUCUAAGCCCACAGAUAAAUAUAGGAGCCAGGGCCGUCCUGGCAUAAAUGGGGACCCUGUGCUAAAUUCUAAAAUAGGCCCUAACAACUAACAAAAUACAAUAGUAAAAUAAUGUACUUAUUGCAAGAAGCUUGGUGAUGUUUUAGCUCUUCAUGAUUUUUAGAAUGACGUAUAAUUGGAAAUAUAGGGAGUAUGUACAAUGAUCAACAACUAUACAGUUUUAACUUUUGGCUGCAUGACCUAUCCAUAGCUCCUUCAUAAUAUUAAGUUCUCUAUCUUUUUGAGUUUUUUGUAAUUCCAUUCAUAUUUUCCUAGAUUCAUUUGCAAAGAAAUGGCUUUGAUUUGAAACACUUUAUGCCUAGACACGUCAAUACACAACAAUAAGUAAGGGAAAAAAACCAAAUUAAGAGACAUUGCGUUAGUUAUAUGCAUC